rnacentral:rRNA from 1 species
AUGGUGCCCAACACAGGCAAAGGCAAAGGGGCGUCCAAGGACGUCGGGGAGAAAAAGGCGCCGGAGAGCGAGUUGGCGGUGUUGCAGAUGCAACACUCCUAUUUCCCCUCGACGGUCGAUGCGGUCCACCUAAGGGACUACUUCAAGCCCGUGUGGGGGAGGGAGACAACGGGGCACCCUGCUACACACAUCAUCCCUGCCAAUUUUGCCAAGGCCGGCCCAGAUUGGUUUGGUAUCCAACCCCCAUGUCGGAAAAUCAGUGAUGAAGUGACCGAAGCUUUUGCAUUUCUAACAUGGGAUUUCAAGAGGAGACAAACGUCCUGUUUGGGCUGA